UGGUAGUGUAUUGGACUACCAUGGCUAUAACGGGUAACGGAGAAUUAGGGUUCGAUUCCGGAGAAGGAGCCUGAGAAACGGCUACUAUGUCUACGGAAAGCAGCAGGCGCGUAAAUUACCCAAUCGUAAAUCACGGAGGUAGUUAAGAGAUAUAUUUAUUUUAAUUAAUUAAAAGAAAAUUAUUCGAAGGUAAAAAUAUCGAAAAAUAUCAUUGGAGGGCAAGUCUGGUGCCAGCAGCCGCGGUAAUUCCAGCUCCAAUAGCGUAUCCUAAUAUUGUUGCAGUUAAAAAGCUCGUAGUUGAAUAUAAAAACAAUUUUGAUUGUUGAUAUCCUUUGGAUGUUUACCAUGAAUAAAUCAGAGCGCUUCAGGCAGGCUUCAGCUUGAAUGCAUCAGCAUGGAAUAAUAUAUCAUUAAUGAUUUUGGUGUAUCAUAAUGAGUGAUUAACAGGAACAGUUGGGGGCAUUCGUAUUUAAUAGCAAGAGGUAAAAUUCUUUGAUUUAUUAAAGACGAACUAAAGCGAAAGCAUUUGUCAAGGAUGUUUUCAUUAAUCAAGAACGAAAGUUAAGGGAUCAAAGACGAUUAGAUACCGUCGUAGUCUUAACUAUAAACUAUGCCGACUAGAAAUUGGUUAUAUCAUUCUAGAGAUUACAUUG
rnacentral:rRNA from 1 species